rfam:Camelus ferus unplaced genomic scaffold scaffold674, whole genome shotgun sequence.
GAGGGUGUAGCUCAAGUGGUAGAGCACAUGCUUAGCAUGCACAGGGUCCUAGGUUCAAUCCCCAGUGCCUCCU